GACAGAGGUUGCAAACGUUGUUCGGAAUUACUGGGCAUAAAGCGCACGUAGGCGGUCCGUUAAGUCAUGUGUGAGAUCCCUCGGCUCAACCGAGGAAUAGCGCCUGAUACUGGCGGGCUAGAGGUCGAUAGGGGUAAGCGGAACUCCAGGUGGAGCGGUGAAAUGCGUAGAUAUCUGGAGGAACACCGGUGGCGAAGGCGGCUUACUGGAUCGAAACUGGCGCUGAGGUGCGAAAGCUAGGGUAGCAAACGGG
rnacentral:rRNA from 1 species